rnacentral:tRNA from 1 species
GGGGAUUUAGCUCAGUCAGUGGUAGAGCGCUUGCCUAGGAAGCGCAAGGCCCUGGGUUCGAUCCCCAGCUCCG